CCUACGGGUGGCAGCAGUGAGGAAUAUUGGUCAAUGGGCGCGAGCCUGACCCAGCCAAGUAGCGUGAAGGAUGACUGCCUUACGGGUUGUAAACUUCUUUUAUAAAGGAAUAAAGUGAGGCACGUGUGCAUUUUUGUCUGUACUUUAUGAAUAAGGAUCGGCUAACUCCGUGCCAGCAGCCGCGGUAAUACGGAGGUUCCGAGCGUUAUCCGGAUUUAGUGGGUUUAAAGGGAGCGUAGAUGGGUUGUUAAGUCAGGUGUGAAAGUUUGCGGCUCAACCGUAAAAUUGCAAUUGAUACUGGCAGUCUUGAGUACAGUUGAGGUAAGCGGAAUUCGUGGUGUAGCGGGGAAAUGCGUAGAUAUCACGAAGAACUCCGAUUGCGAAGGCAGCUUACUAAACUGCCACUGACAUUGAUGCUCGAAAGUGUGGGUAUCAAACAGGAUUAGAUACCCUAGUAGUC
rnacentral:rRNA from 1 species